rnacentral:rRNA from 1 species
AUUGAACGCUGGCGGCAUGCUUUACACAUGCAAGUCGAACGGCGGCGCGGGCUUCGGCCUGGCGGCGAGUGGCGAACGGGUGAGUAAUACAUCGGAACGUGCCCAGUAGUGGGGGAUAGCUCGGCGAAAGCCGGAUUAAUACCGCAUACGACCUGAGGGUGAAAGCGGGGGAUCUUCGGACCUCGCGCUAUUGGAGCGGCCGAUGGCAGAUUAGCUAGUUGGUGGGGUAAAGGCCUACCAAGGCGACGAUCUGUAGCUGGUCUGAGAGGACGACCAGCCACACUGGGACUGAGACACGGCCCAGACUCCUACGGGAGGCAGCAGUGGGGAAUUUUGGACAAUGGGCGAAAGCCUGACCCAGCAAUGCCGCGUGUGUGAUGAAGGCCUUCGGGUUGUAAAGCACUUUUGGCGGGAACGAAAAGGACUGUGCCAAUACCACGGUUCGAUGACGGUACCCGCAGAAUAAGCACCGGCUAACUACGUG